GCGUGCGGGAUGAAGGCCUUCGGGUUGUAAACCGCUUUCAGCAGGGACGAGGCGAAAGUGACGGUACCUGCAGAAGAAGCCCCGGCUAACUACGUGCCAGCAGCCGCGGUAAUACGUAGGGGGCAAGCGUUAUCCGGAUUCAUUGGGCGUAAAGCGCGCGUAGGCUGCCCAGUAGGUCGAGAGUUAAAUCCGGGGGCUCAACCCCCGUCCGCUCCCGAUACCGCUGGGAUUCGAGUCUGGUAGGGGAAGGUGGAAUUCCCAGUGUAGCGGUGGAAUGCGCAGAUAUUGGGAAGAACACCGGUGGCGAAGGCGGCCUUCUGGGCCAUGACUGACGCUGAGGCGCGAAAGCUAGGGGAGCGAACAGGAUUAGAUACCCUGGUAGUCCUAGCCGUAAACGAUGGGCACUAGGUGUGGGGAGGCUUUACUUUCCGUGCCGACGCUAACGCAUUAAGUGCCCCGCCUGGGGAGUACGGCCGCAAGGCUAAAACUCAAAGGAAUUGACGGGGGCCCGCACAAGCAGCGGAGCAUGUGGCUUAAUUCGAAGCAACGCGAAGAACCUUACCAGG
rnacentral:rRNA from 1 species